rnacentral:piRNA from 1 species
UAAUUUUAUGUACGUUGUUUA